rnacentral:rRNA from 1 species
GACAGAGGAUGCAAGCGUUAUCCGGAAUCACUGGGCGUAAAGCGUCUGUAGGUGGUUCAAUAAGUCAACUGUUAAAUCUUGAGGCUCAACUUCAAAAUCGCAGUCGAAACUAUUGGACUCGAGUAUAGUAGGGGUAAAGGGAAUUUCCAGUGGAGCGGUGAAAUGCGUAGAGAUUGGAAAGAACACCAAUGGCGAAAGCACUUUACUGGGCUAUUACUGACACUGAGAGACGAAAGCUAGGGUAGCGAAUAGGG